AUUGAACGCUGGCGGCAGGCCUAACACAUGCAAGUCGAACGAGUGGCGGACGGGUGAGUAAUGUAUGGGAAUCUGCCUGAUGGCGGGGGAUAACUACUGGAAACGGUGGCUAAUACCGCAUACCAUCAGAUGAACCCCUAUGGGAUUAGCUAGUGGGUGGGGUAAAGGCUCACCUAGGCGACGCUCCCUAGCUGGUCUGAGAGGAUGACCAGCCACACGGGAACUGAGACACGGCCCAGACUCCUACGGGAGGCAGCAGUGGGGAAGAUUGCACAAUGGGCGCAAGCCUGAUGCAGCCAUGCCGCGUGUAUGAAGAAGGCCUUAGGGUUGUAAAGUACUUUCAGCGGGGAGGCGUUACCCGCAGAAGAAGCACCGGCUAACUACGUGCCAGCCGCCGCGGUAAGUC
rnacentral:rRNA from 1 species